rnacentral:rRNA from 1 species
AGAGUUUGAUCCUGGCUCAGGAUAAACGCUGGCGGCGCACAUAAGACAUGCAAGUCGAACGGAACUUAACCAGUUAGUUUACUAUUGGAGCGGUUAGUGGCGGACUGGUGAGGUAACACGUAAGCAACCUGCCUAUCAGAGGGGAACGAACAGUUAGAAAUGACUGCUAAUACCGCAUAUGCCUUAGAAUCACAUGGUUCAAAA